rnacentral:tRNA from 1 species
CCCUGGGUGGCAUAGUGGUUUGAGCAUUGGACUAUGACUCUUGAGACCAGGGUUCGAUUCCCAGCUCGGCCA